AAUUCUCAAUCUUCACAGCCUUGUGUUGUCUGAAGAUUGGAUGUGGGAGUGUAUGUAGGACAUUCUUUUGUGAAAGUUCUACUCUCCUGAAAUGUAUUAGCUGGAAUGCCUUUGCAAAGCCAACUAUCAGUGUGAUAAUUAUCUAUACUGGAGUUGCUGCAUAAAGGGAAUCUGCUUCUUAACUGUCUUACUGACAAUAUGAAACA
rnacentral:misc_RNA from 1 species